rnacentral:lncRNA from 1 species
AGUCUGUCAUUGCAACAACUCUUUGGCAUAAACAAAAAAACUUUAAGGAAUUCCCAGACUGAUGGUUGUCUUAGUCUGAACAAUAAACCUUCAAGAUGAGGAGUGCAAUGAAGAGGCUGGAAUAAGCUGUACAUGUCAUGGCACAAUAUUGGAGAUGGCAAGGAAAUGGCAUAAAAGAUCUGUCUUGUCAAGAUAAUUGAAAUGGUCAUUAAUAAAAAGCUCUUGUUGCAUCUGAGGUAGAGACUG